AGCGUACACGGUGGAUGCCCUGGCAGUCAGAGGCGAUGAAGGACGUGCUAAUCUGCGAUAAGCGUCGGUAAGGUGAUAUGAACCGUUAUAACCGGCGAUUUCCGAAUGGGGAAACCCAGUGUGUUUCGACACACUAUCAUUAACUGAAUCCAUAGGUUAAUGAGGCGAACCGGGGGAACUGAAACAUCUAAGUACCCCGAGGAAAAGAAAUCAACCGAGAUUCCCCCAGUAGCGGCGAGCGAACGGGGAGGAGCCCAGAGCCUGAAUCAGUGUGUGUGUUAGUGGAAGCGUCUGGAAAGGCGCGCGAUACAGGGUGACAGCCCCGUACACAAAAAUGCACAUGCUGUGAGCUCGAUGAGUAGGGCGGGACACGUGGUAUCCUGUCUGAAUAUGGGGGGACCAUCCUCCAAGGCUAAAUACUCCUGACUGACCGAUAGUGAACCAGUACCGUGAGGGAAAGGCGAAAAGAACCCCGGCGAGGGGAGUGAAAAAGAACCUGAAACCGUGUACGUACAAGCAGUGGGAGCACGCUUAGGCGUGUGACUGCGUACCUUUUGUAUAAUGGGUCAGCGACUUAUAUUCUGUAGCAAGGUUAACCGAAUAGGGGAGCCGAAGGGAAACCGAGUCUUAACUGGGCGUUAAGUUGCAGGGUAUAGACCCGAAACCCGGUGAUCUAGCCAUGGGCAGGUUGAAGGUUGGGUAACACUAACUGGAGGACCGAACCGACUAAUGUUGAAAAAUUAGCGGAUGACUUGUGGCUGGGGGUGAAAGGCCAAUCAAACCGGGAGAUAGCUGGUUCUCCCCGAAAGCUAUUUAGGUAGCGCCUCGUGAAUUCAUCUCCGGGGGUAGAGCACUGUUUCGGCAAGGGGGUCAUCCCGACUUACCAACCCGAUGCAAACUGCGAAUACCGGAGAAUGUUAUCACGGGAGACACACGGCGGGUGCUAACGUCCGUCGUGAAGAGGGAAACAACCCAGACCGCCAGCUAAGGUCCCAAAGUCAUGGUUAAGUGGGAAACGAUGUGGGAAGGCCCAGACAGCCAGGAUGUUGGCUUAGAAGCAGCCAUCAUUUAAAGAAAGCGUAAUAGCUCACUGGUCGAGUCGGCCUGCGCGGAAGAUGUAACGGGGCUAAACCAUGCACCGAAGCUGCGGCAGCGACGCUUAUGCGUUGUUGGGUAGGGGAGCGUUCUGUAAGCCUGUGAAGGUGUGCUGUGAGGCAUGCUGGAGGUAUCAGAAGUGCGAAUGCUGACAUAAGUAACGAUAAAGCGGGUGAAAAGCCCGCUCGCCGGAAGACCAAGGGUUCCUGUCCAACGUUAAUCGGGGCAGGGUGAGUCGACCCCUAAGGCGAGGCCGAAAGGCGUAGUCGAUGGGAAACAGGUUAAUAUUCCUGUACUUGGUGUUACUGCGAAGGGGGGACGGAGAAGGCUAUGUUGGCCGGGCGACGGUUGUCCCGGUUUAAGCGUGUAGGCUGGUUUUCCAGGCAAAUCCGGAAAAUCAAGGCUGAGGCGUGAUGACGAGGCACUACGGUGCUGAAGCAACAAAUGCCCUGCUUCCAGGAAAAGCCUCUAAGCAUCAGGUAACAUCAAAUCGUACCCCAAACCGACACAGGUGGUCAGGUAGAGAAUACCAAGGCGCUUGAGAGAACUCGGGUGAAGGAACUAGGCAAAAUGGUGCCGUAACUUCGGGAGAAGGCACGCUGAUAUGUAGGUGAAGUCCCUCGCGGAUGGAGCUGAAAUCAGUCGAAGAUACCAGCUGGCUGCAACUGUUUAUUAAAAACACAGCACUGUGCAAACACGAAAGUGGACGUAUACGGUGUGACGCCUGCCCGGUGCCGGAAGGUUAAUUGAUGGGGUCAGCGCAAGCGAAGCUCUUGAUCGAAGCCCCGGUAAACGGCGGCCGUAACUAUAACGGUCCUAAGGUAGCGAAAUUCCUUGUCGGGUAAGUUCCGACCUGCACGAAUGGCGUAAUGAUGGCCAGGCUGUCUCCACCCGAGACUCAGUGAAAUUGAACUCGCUGUGAAGAUGCAGUGUACCCGCGGCAAGACGGAAAGACCCCGUGAACCUUUACUAUAGCUUGACACUGAACAUUGAGCCUUGAUGUGUAGGAUAGGUGGGAGGCUUUGAAGUGUGGACGCCAGUCUGCAUGGAGCCGACCUUGAAAUACCACCCUUUAAUGUUUGAUGUUCUAACGUUGACCCGUAAUCCGGGUUGCGGACAGUGUCUGGUGGGUAGUUUGACUGGGGCGGUCUCCUCCUAAAGAGUAACGGAGGAGCACGAAGGUUGGCUAAUCCUGGUCGGACAUCAGGAGGUUAGUGCAAUGGCAUAAGCCAGCUUGACUGCGAGCGUGACGGCGCGAGCAGGUGCGAAAGCAGGUCAUAGUGAUCCGGUGGUUCUGAAUGGAAGGGCCAUCGCUCAACGGAUAAAAGGUACUCCGGGGAUAACAGGCUGAUACCGCCCAAGAGUUCAUAUCGACGGCGGUGUUUGGCACCUCGAUGUCGGCUCAUCACAUCCUGGGGCUGAAGUAGGUCCCAAGGGUAUGGCUGUUCGCCAUUUAAAGUGGUACGCGAGCUGGGUUUAGAACGUCGUGAGACAGUUCGGUCCCUAUCUGCCGUGGGCGCUGGAGAACUGAGGGGGGCUGCUCCUAGUACGAGAGGACCGGAGUGGACGCAUCACUGGUGUUCGGGUUGUCAUGCCAAUGGCACUGCCCGGUAGCUAAAUGCGGAAGAGAUAAGUGCUGAAAGCAUCUAAGCACGAAACUUGCCCCGAGAUGAGUUCUCCCUGACUCCUUGA
rnacentral:rRNA from 1 species